UCAAAUUAAAAAAAAGUAGAAAGGAAAAAUAAAUAAAUCAAUGCUAUUUGACUGAAUGACCAACACAAGACUUAGCCUGCAUCUGGUUUAUAAAUCUAAUAUGCCAUAAUGGAAUAUUGUCAUUUCAUAACACUAUUAGCAAGUAAAAUGUCUUUUUGACCAUUGUUACAGGAGCAGGGCCAUAGGAAAUAUGAGUGGGGCAUAAAGUUCAUAUCUGUGUUUUUCUUUCUUCCUUCCUUUCUUUUUUUUUAGGCAGUGGUAAUAUGGGAGAAUAAUUCUCCCUACCUCUUUCAGUCUAGAAGUGUGGUGACUUCCCAUGGGACCCAAUCCUACUGCUGAUCAAAGUAAAAAUCUAUAUGAUUUUCUUUUUAGAACCUGGGCCAGUUGUCCCUCUUUAAGAUUGGGAGAGUUCACAAAUUAAGAGUUUCCAGAGAGAAACUGGAUGACUUCAGAUCAGGGAUGUUCUGUCUGUUGUAAAAGUGUCUGCCUCCACAGCACAGAAGGAAUCAAGCUGAGAAGAGCUUGUUUGUUUUUAUCCCUCUAUUCCAAUAAUGGAAGCAUAUCUAACUGAAGAAAAGACUUCAGAGUAAGUGAGGUACUUAGAGAUUAUGACAUUCUACUCCAUCAUUUUACAAAUGAGCAAACUAAGUCGAGUCACAUGGUUUAUAAGAAAAAAAAAAAAAAACUAGAGCUGGAUUGAAGGUCCCUAGCAUCCAAUGACAUGUUCUUUCUGUUACAUAGAGUAGUAAACCAUCAUAUCCUCAUAUUUACACAUUUUUCUACCCAUUACCAGUGGCUUUACCACUCUGGAAAUGCCUCAAUCCAAGGACUGCUCUAUCAAUUGGUGUGUACUUCACAACAUCAUUUUAUGAAGGACCUAAACUUUUGCUCACUCCUUACUUGAAUCUAUUAACUUUUCAGAAUUUUCCACCAACUAUAUUGCCUCUCUUUUCAUGUCUUCUCCUCACCUACUUUCCAACAUUCCCUUCUAGGUUGUUUUCUGCUGUUAGAAGGAAGCUUCUUGAUGGUAGGAACUGUCUUAUUUGCCUGUAUUUGUACUUAGUGUAGUCUCUGGAAUAUAAUAGAUGCCUAAUUUAUGCUUUACCUAUCUCUAUCUAUCUAUCAUCUAUCUAUCACAUGACUAUAUAGCACUAUAAGAUUUUUCUGAGACUCUGGGAUAUUCCAGUUAUCAAAGAGUCUGAAUGGGCAAAUAAUUUCAUUAACUUAAAACAUCAUCUUUAUGGCCAACCAUUAAUUAAAUGAGAUUCUGUGUGAUUGUGAGAACAAUUUAAUUCUUUCCCUGUGCUAGAUAAAAAUAUCAGUAUUAACACUGUCAUAGUCAGUGCCUAUAUUGUAUUUAUAGGUGUCUAGAGCAUUUUACAUAUAGUAUCUCAUUUGGUUUCCAACUUAUAAGCAAAUAACAAAGGAAAAUAUGUCAAUUACUUCCUUAUGGAGCUGGGGUAGAUCAAACUCAGAAGGUAAUCCCAGUGAAUUAGUGUAGCUAAAAAAAAAAAAUCAUCACCAAGAGGCUAAUCUUACAAUAAGG